ensembl:snRNA U1 U1 spliceosomal RNA
GCACUUACCUGGCAGUGGAGAGACCAUGAUCAGGAAGGUGGUUUACCCAUUGCAUUACAUAUAUGCAAGGCUUACCCAUUGCAUUCCAGAUAUGCUGACCUCUAUGAUUUUCCCAAAUGUGGGAAACUUGACUGCAUAAUUUGGGGUAGCAGGGGACUGCAUUUGUGCUCUCCCCUA